AAACUUGCCUGGCAGGGGAGAUACCAUGAUCACCUAGGUGAUUUUCCCAGAGUGAUGCUUAUCCUUUGCACUCUGGAUGUGCUGACCGCUGCAGUUUCCCCAAAUGUGGAAAACUCAGCUGCAUAAUAUGUGGUAGUGGGGGACUGCAUUCAUACUCCCCUUU